UUCGCAAUGCCCGAAAGGGUGACGAAGCGACGCCGCGUGUGGGAAGAAGGCCUUCGGGUUGUAAACCGCUGUCGGGAGUUAAGAAAUGCAAGGGUGUUAACAGCAUCCUUGCUUGACUAAGGCUCCGGAGGAAGCCACGGCUAACUCUGUGCCAGCAGCCGCGGUAAUACAGAGGCGGCAAGCGUUGUUCGGAAUUAUUGGGCGUAAAGAGCACGUAGGCGGCUGUGUAAGUCGGUUGUGAAAGCCUUCCGCUCAACGGGAGAACGGCAUCCGAUACUGCAUGGCUUGAGUGCGGGAGGGGAGAGUGGAACUUCUGGUGGAGCGGUGAAAUGCGUAGAUAUCAGAAGGAACACCGGCGGCGAAGGCGACUCUCUGGCCCGUAACUGACGCUGAGUGUGCGAAAGCUAGGGGAGCAAACGGGAUUAGAUACCCCGGUAGUCCUAGCCGUAAACGAUGGGCACUAAGUAGAGGGGUUUU
rnacentral:rRNA from 1 species